rnacentral:rRNA from 1 species
UACGGGGGGAGCAAGCGUUGUUCGGAUUUACUGGGCGUAAAGGGUGCGUAGGUGGCGCGGUAAGUCGGGUGUGAAAUUUCGGAGCUUAACUCCGAAACUGCAUUCGAUACUGCCGUGCUUGAGGACUGGAGAGGAGACUGGAAUUUACGGUGUAGCAGUGAAAUGCGUAGAUAUCGUAAGGAAGACCAGUGGCGAAGGCGGGUCUCUGGACAGUUCCUGACACUGAGGCACGAAGGCCAGGGGAGCAAACGGG